rnacentral:rRNA from 2 species
CUGGCUCAGGAUGAACGCCGGCGGUGUGCCUAAUACAUGCAAGUCGAACGCGUUGGYCYAAUUGAUUGAYGGUGCUUGCACCUGAUUGAUUUUGGUYGCCARCGAGUGGCGGACGGGUGAGUAACACGUAGGUAACCUGCCCAGAAGCGGGGGACAACAUUUGGAAACAGAUGCUAAUACCGCAUAACARCGUUGUUCGCAUGAACAACGCUUAAAAGAUGGCUUCUCGCUAUCACUUCUGGAUGGACCUGCGGUGCAUUAGCUUGUUGGUGGGGUAAYGGCCUACCAAGGCGAUGAUGCAUAGCCGAGUUGAGAGACUGAUCGGCCACAAUGGGACUGAGACACGGCCCAUACUCCUACGGGAGGCAGCAGUAGGGAAUCUUCCACAAUGGGCGCAAGCCUGAUGGAGCAACACCGCGUGAGUGAAGAAGGGUUUCGGCUCGUAAAGCUCUGUUGUUAAAGAAGAACACGUAUGAGAGUAACUGUUCAUACGUUGACGGUAUUUAACCAGAAAGUCACGGCUAACUACGUGCCAGCAGCCGCGGUAAUACGUAGGUGGCAAGCGUUAUCCGGAUUUAUUGGGCGUAAAGAGAGUGCAGGCGGUUUUCUAAGUCUGAUGUGAAAGCCUUCGGCUUAACCGGAGAAGUGCAUCGGAAACUGGAUAACUUGAGUGCAGAAGAGGGUAGUGGAACUCCAUGUGUAGCGGUGGAAUGCGUAGAUAUAUGGAAGAACACCAGUGGCGAAGGCGGCUACCUGGUCUGCAACUGACGCUGAGACUCGAAAGCAUGGGUAGCGAACAGGAUUAGAUACCCUGGUAGUCCAUGCCGUAAACGAUGAGUGCUAGGUGUUGGAGGGUUUCCGCCCUUCAGUGCCGGAGCUAACGCAUUAAGCACUCCGCCUGGGGAGUACGACCGCAAGGUUGAAACUCAAAGGAAUUGACGGGGGCCCGCACAAGCGGUGGAGCAUGUGGUUUAAUUCGAAGCUACGCGAAGAACCUUACCAGGUCUUGACAUCUUGCGCCAACCCUAGAGAUAGGGCGUUUCCUUCGGGAACGCAAUGACAGGUGGUGCAUGGUCGUCGUCAGCUCGUGUCGUGAGAUGUUGGGUUAAGUCCCGCAACGAGCGCAACCCUUGUUACUAGUUGCCAGCAUUAAGUUGGGCACUCUAGUGAGACUGCCGGUGACAAACCGGAGGAAGGUGGGGACGACGUCAGAUCAUCAUGCCCCUUAUGACCUGGGCUACACACGUGCUACAAUGGACGGUACAACGAGUCGCGAACUCGCGAGGGCAAGCAAAUCUCUUAAAACCGUUCUCAGUUCGGACUGCAGGCUGCAACUCGCCUGCACGAAGUCGGAAUCGCUAGUAAUCGCGGAUCAGCAUGCCGCGGUGAAUACGUUCCCGGGCCUUGUACACACCGCCCGUCACACCAUGAGAGUUUGUAACACCCAAAGUCGGUGGGGUAACCUUUUAGGAGCCAGCCGCCUAAGGUGGGACAGAUGAUUAGGGUGAAGUCGUA